rnacentral:rRNA from 1 species
GCUUUUAGACUUAUUUAAUUUAAGGUGUAACCUGCUCAAUGAUGAUUAUAUUAAAUAGCUGCAGUAAUUUGACUGUACUAAGGUAGCAUAAUAAUUUGUCUUUUAAUUGGGGACUGGAAUGAAGGGUUAAACGUUAAAAGAACUGUCUCUAUUUUUAUUUUUGAAAUUUAUUUUUUUGUGAAAAAGCAACAAUGAAGUAAAGGGACGAAAAGACCCUAUCAAGUUUUAUAAUAACAUUAAUAAUAGAAUAUUAAUAUUAUUAUUUAUUUGGGGCGAAUUUUAAAUAUUUAAACUUUUAUAAAUUUAAAUAAUAUAAAUAUUUAUUUAUAAACUAAUAAUAUUAAAAUUAUAUAUAAUUACUGUAGGGGUAACAGCAUAAUUUUUCCUCCAAGUACUUAUUGGAGGAAAAGAUUGUGACCUCGAUGUUGGAUUAUAAUUUCCUGAAUAAUGAAUAUGUUUUUAAGGUUUGUCUGUUCGACAAUUAAAAUUUUACA